rnacentral:rRNA from 1 species
UACGGGGGGGGGGUAAGCGUUGUUCGGAAUUACUGGGCGUAAAGGCUCGUAGGCGGCCAACUAAGUCAUACGUGAAAUCCCUCAGCUUAACUGGGGAACUGCGUGUGAUACUGGAUGGCUUGGAUUUGGGAGAGGGAUGCGGAAUUCCAGGUGUAGCGGUGAAAUGCGUAGAUAUCUGGAGGGAACACCGGUGGCGAAGGCGGCAUCCUGGACCAAUAUUGACGCUGAGGAG